rnacentral:rRNA from 1 species
CCUACGGGAGGCAGCAGUGAGGAAUAUUGGUCAAUGGGCGCGAGCCUGAACCAGCCAAGUCGCGUGAGGGAUGAAGGUUCUAUGGAUCGUAAACCUCUUUUGUAAGGGAACAAAGUCUGGCUCGUGACCUAGUCUGUGGGUACUUUAUGAAUAAGCAUCGGCUAACUCCGUGCCAGCAGCCGCGGUAAUACGGAGGAUCCGAGCGUUAUCCGGAUUUAUUGGGUUUAAAGGGUGCGUAGGCGGGCUUUUAAGUCAGCGGUAAAAGCCGGGGGCUCAACCCCGGCGAGCCGUUGAAACUGGGGGUCUUGAGAUGUCGAGAGGAAUGCGGAAUGCGCAGUGUAGCGGUGAAAUGCUUAGAUAUUGCGCAGAACCCCGAUUGCGAAGGCAGCAUGCCGGGGGAGAACUGACGCUGAGGCACGAAAGCGUGGGUAUCGAACAGGAUUAGAUACCCGUGUAGUC